rnacentral:rRNA from 1 species
UACGUAGGGCGCAAGCGUUAGGCGGAAUCACUGGGCUUAAAGCGUGUGUAGGCGGACUUCUAAGUACCUUGUGAAAUCCCACGGCUUACCCGUGGAACGGCUGGGUAUACUGGUUGUCUUGAGCCACUUAGGGGCUACCGGAACAAAUGGUGGAGCGGUGAAAUGCGUAGAUAUCAUUUGGAACGCCAAUGGUGAAAACAGGUAGCUGGGAGUGUGCUGACGCUGAGACACGAAAGCCAGGGGAGCGAACGGG